CGCAUGCGCACUCCGGGACGCGCGCGAACACGCAGCAGCGAGAAUCUACAGGGGCGUGGUUUGCGCACGCGGGAACUGGGAUCUCAACCCCAGGGCUAGGUGCCUCCUCCCGCUGCUUUCCGCCAGCUGCGGGGUGUGAGAUUAAUCCCCGCCGAUUAGCGCCAGGUGUACUAAGCGCUGGAUGGUUCCCUGACCAGAUGAAACAUCAGCCGAUGUUCUAAUGCCGGUCCCCUGGGCGCUGUCCCCGAGAGGGAAAACCUGUUUUCUGACCCCGGCUCUAGUCGGCCUCUGGAGGUCUGCAGCUGGGUUAUUUUACCUUUGAAACGGACGACACCUGCCCCGUGCACCCCAGCGGCUCCUCCACACGGAGAGAUGGUGUCAGUCAAAGGCCGUCUAGAUGACGAGUUUAUGAAAUUGUUCCUGGCCCGUGCCGGGCACGACCUUGCAGAGAGCCCAGAAGAUGAAACCCCAGCCCUGCCAGGAGCUCACCUGCUAAUUAGGAGGACAACGAAUCACCUCACCUCCCUAGACUUUGCUUCUCCUUUAUUCAGUGAGGGAUUGGACUAGCUGGUCCUUGAGGACUUUUCAGAAAGUCUGGUUCUGGGAGAUGACCAAUGGGAUCAUCUUAUGCUAUGAGCUUUCCUGGAAUGACAGGUAAUGGAGAGUGAGGAGAUUUUACCUGAUAUGGUCCUGUUUGCACCAUCAGCCAGCAACCUUUCUGGGAAGCGUGCUUAUUAUGUACCAACAUAAAAGCUUGAAUAUAAGAACAGAACACAAGAACGGGGCUGAAGCUCUAACAGAAAAGACAUAAGACCCUUGAGAAAGCAUUACUUGAACACAAGGUUUCUGGGACAUUAAACAUGGGUAUAAGUGCUGCUAUAGUACCUUUCUGGGGAAGACUUCCUCCUGUCUCGGGGACUUAGGCAUCAUCAAAGGCAGGGUGGGAUGAAGAAAGUAAGGUGAAUGCUCUGGUAGACUGAGAAGUCUAGGAUAUACAGGGGGACUUCAGGUGUCAAAACAAGAGGAGAAGGCUUCAGAAGCACACAAUGUCAGGGUCAGAAUUGAAGCCAGGUUGCAGCCCAAAGGGGACAGACAGCCCUGCCAGUUACUCGUGCUUCAGAGGUGGCACGGCUGCUCUCGGAGAAGCAACUGACUAUUUCAGUUUUCCCUGACUACAGCUAUAAGGACGCUCCCUACCUGCCACCCUCCAUAUCAUCCCCCGCCCGCACCUAGACACCCGAAUCGGAAUCUCACAUCUUCUGCCAGCAUCCUGAAACUAUGGCAGACUCACUUGUUAACUUUGCAAAUAAGGUCAAAUUUCAGAACCUUCACAGCUCCUGAUAGUCACCGUGUAAUAGAAGAUUAAAAGACAAGCUCAGCUCUUGUUCCAGUCAGCCUCAUUCCUCUGCCUACAAUACAAAAGUCACUCAAUCAUAUUCUUGUCUUAAAUUGAACAGUCCUUACAUGGUUAAGAAAAGGAGAAAUUCAUUGUAAGGAAUGUUUACAUUUUGUUUAUAAUUCCUGCAAGUGUAAUGUUUCAAAAGGUUUUCCUGUGGCUGAAGUACAUUUACCCUGUGUAGCUCUAGAGAAAUGAACUUACAAACUGAAAAAUUUCAGCUCAGUAUAUAAAGAAAAACAGAUUUUCACAAUUAGAUCUAUCCCAAAGAGAAUAAAUUUUGAGGUGAUAAGCUCACUGCUGGCUUAGAUCAUCACUUAUGGGACCUCUAAUGGGGCAGGGAUCAGACUAGAUGUGUACAAAGAUCUCUUCCAACUGAAGCUGCUACUGUGGAGGACGUUGUUUUCAGUGGACUCUCUAAUCAGAUUUAUUUUCAUACCAAGAAAUGAAGAAGGUGAGCUGGGGGAUGCAGCUGGGACUCAGAAGACUGCACGUGAUAGACUCAUGAGCUGAAGAUCUCGUGCUUAGUCUGGAGAAGCUCAUCAAGUCUAGCUCACUUUGGAGUAAGUUGGUGCUGGAGAAUGAAUUCAUGCUAACCAAAUUCACCAAGAGCCUGAUUUACAAAUGAGAGAGCCAAGGCCUUAAGUUUAGAGCAAAAGACAAACUUCCAAUGACUUUAGUUUUCUUGUCCAAUAUCUAGGGCACCUUCCCCUCUCCACCUGCUGUGUACACAGGAGAAAUAAUCACUCCACACCCGACUGAACAUUUUCUAACCUUAUCACUGUGGCAGAAACUGGCUACUCUUCCUCCUGGGUAGACAGCCAGGCUGUAUUUCCCCGCUGCCCCUGCAGUGAGAGGUAGCCAUUGGAGCCGGCGCAGGCCAAUGGACUCUGCACUGGAGUGACACAUGCUGCUUCCAGGCCUGUCCCUCAAACCUCCCACAUGUCCUCUGUCUGCUCUUCUCACUUCCAAGGAGUGUGACCAUCGUGGAAGCCCCAGGUUAGCAAUGGCAGAUUGGGAGGCAUCGAUGGGAGGAACCUGGGUCCCUGACUUAAAGCAUCAUGGAUUUGGACUUUCCGUUAUUGAGAAAUAAACUUCCAUUGUGUUUAAGCCUU
rnacentral:lncRNA from 10 species